CGGCAGCGCUGCCCUCGGGCCCAGCCUGCUGCCCGCGCUGGCACUGCCCCGCCGUGUGUGCCGGGCCGCAGGGAGGAAGGAAGGGAGGAAAGAGCCGCCCAAGUUGAGAAGAAUGAUCCGACUGAAAACUUAGGCACCGGUUCAUUCUUCUCGGUGCUCCCAGGCCACCCAUAACCCCCGGAGUAAGGGAGAGCCUCAAUUCUCAGCACACCCAGGCUUGCUGCGUCGAUCGCCACAGGAUUUUACAGGUGAGGAAACAGAGGCACAGGGAAGUUCGGUGAUUUGCCAAAGGUCUUUAAUAAGUUGCAGAGCUGAGUCACAUCCAGGCAGGCUGGCUCUGUGUCAUGUCGCAUAGUCGGGAGUCGUGGAAGCUGGAGAUGGAGGACACUGGUCAGAAAUUCAUACCCUAAGAGGACCAUGCUCUCUGCAAACAAGGGGAUUUGUUCCCACAUAAGAGGAAUAAUCAGCGAUCUAAUAAAACAGUUUUGAAACCUUACAUUUGUAAUAACCAGUUCACUUUUACACAGCUAGUCCCCAAGGAACCGGGACUUACACAUACAUGUCCUUUUUUUUCUCGUUUUUUUUUUU